GGGCAGCAUAAUGGAUAGCAAUAUCUAUGGUGGCGACCGGCGCACGGGUGCGUAACGCGUAUGCAACCUACCUUUAACAGGGGGAUAACACUGAGAAAUUGGUACUAAUACCCCAUAAUAUCAUAGAAGGCAUCUUUUAUGGUUGAAAAUUCCGAUGGUUAGAGAUGGGCAUGCGUUGUAUUAGCUAGUUGGUGGGGUAACGGCUCACCAAGGCGACGAUACAUAGGGGGACUGAGAGGUUAACCCCCCACACUGGUACUGAGACACGGACCAGACUCCUACGGGAGGCAGCAGUGAGGAAUAUUGGUCAAUGGACGCAAGUCUGAACCAGCCAUGCCGCGUGCAGGAUGACGGCUCUAUGAGUUGUAAACUGCUUUUGUACGAGGGUAAACGCAGAUACGUGUAUCUGUCUGAAAGUAUCGUACGAAUAAGGAUCGGCUAACUCCGUGCCAGCAGCCGCGGUAAUACGGAGGAUUCAAGCGUUAUCCGGAUUUAUUGGGUUUAAAGGGUGCGUAGGCGGUUUGAUAAGUUAGAGGUGAAAUUUCGGGGCUCAACCCUGAACGUGCCUCUAAUACUGUUGAGCUAGAGAGUAGUUGCGGUAGGCGGAAUGUAUGGUGUAGCGGUGAAAUGCUUAGAGAUCAUACAGAACACCGAUUGCGAGAGGCAGCUUACCAAACUAUAUCUGACGU
rnacentral:rRNA from 1 species